CAUUUUAAUGAUUUUUAAGAUAAAAGCAAAUUCAGUGAUUUUGUAUAUCUGUUUCUCAAGGACUUAUAUUUCUCACAUUCUCACAUGCUAAUUACAGUUUUUUUUCGAUAUGUGAAUUUUUUAACUUAUAUAUAGUAGGAUAACUAUGUUUGGUAGAUGGGUUCUUUGCAACGCCUACAUGUCCAUCAGAGGCAUUGGCGCCGAACUACAUUUCAUUUGCUCCAAUUGUGUAUAGGUAGAUCAAAGGUGUAGGUUAUUUCUAAUUUAUCAUUCCUUAUAGAAUAACUAAU
rnacentral:lncRNA from 1 species